GUUGCAGAGGAAGGAGCUCCAUAACACAGAGGCUAAAGGGGACUGCUUGGCUUACAGGACAGGCCCAGAGUCCUGUAAACUGGACACAUACAGCCUAUGGGGAAGUAAGGCCCAAUAUGGAGGAGACCAUGGUGGUUCAGCGAGGGAGCAGAUGCUUAUUGAAACCUGCAGGGACCUUGCAUACAAACAAAGGCUGACUCUUCUGUACCUCCUGCAAUGUAACUUCAAGUCUGAGGUACACAUGAAGAGGAAGGCUUUUGCACAGAUUGAAGAUCAGAUAAAGAAGCAAGCCACUUUGUCCUUUCAGCGCUGUCCAUGUCACCUGCAAUGUCUACAUUCUGAUCCCUAAUAAGUGACAUCCAGUGCCUGUAGUUCCCCAAGGUGGAUAGCCUGGUGUCUUCCUUCAAGAAAGCCUUCAAGCACUGUCCAGGCCAUAAGGUCUGGUACAGGGAGUCAGUUGCCAGUCAAAGUCAGGAUUCAUGUGACACUGUUGCUGCUACCAGAGCCUGUACUCACACGGUGGAAUUCCUGGUGCACUGUGGUCCAUUACCAUGCCAAGCCUAUGCAGCACUACCAGCACUUUGUAAGUGAGGAGCUUGAAAUUCCACUCAGCACACAGCAAAUACUCAAGCUUUGUGAUCUAGGAUGAGGCAACAUUCAAAAUCAAGUGACGUUUGUGCCUAACAAUGCCACCUGGUUCAUUCAGCUUCUGAUCUGGUUUGAAGGCUGGCAGGCUGUUAUCCACCACACACACAGCAAGGUGAUGGACUUGUUAAGCUGGGUCAAAGACAGGGCAUUGCAAGAACUGGCAAGCUGCCCCUGUGAAAACCAGUGCAGAAGGGAACUGUUCCAGGCAAUAGCUACGAAGUUGAACCAUUACUACAGGUAUGAACCAUUACUGCCACCACAGCUCAGACAGCCAGCUGCCUCCUUAGUGCUGUUCACAUAUUGAACCCCAACCAGGUGUCUCUGCUGAGUUGUGCAAUCCCAGGAUGGGGGAAACAGCAUGGCAAUGAAUGUGCUGCCUACAUGAACUUCAUCAGAGUGCCAGAUUCCUGUAUCCAUGCCUGUGUUCUGGGACUCCGUCUAUGACCGGUUUCCACAUCUUUACACCAUGAGCACGAUGCUUCCUCACCAUUCCAAUGAAAUUAUUGAACACUGAGCAUGCCAUCUCUGUGUAUGGACAAGUGUGCAACCCACAGAGGCAGAGAAUGUCUCUAGUCACUGUGGCUGGGUGCACCAUGCUUCAGUUUAAUACAUAGCCUGAUAUGCCCUUCUUAAGGUUAGCAGCAUUCAGUUUCAGUAAAUUCCUUUUAAUAAUGUCCAUUAACAAAGUGUAUACAGUUGGUGUUAGUUACAAUUCAUGUUGUGCAUAGUACAGCUUUUAUUUUCAUAGAAUAUUUCAAUUUAGAAUUUCACUUAGUGCUUAGAUGGUAUUAUUUAAUAAAGUGUAUAUAAGUUGAUAUUUUUUAAUAAAGUGUAUAUCGUUGGUA